rnacentral:rRNA from 1 species
GAUGAACGCUGGCGGCGUGCUUAACACAUGCAAGUCGAACGGAAAGGCUCCUGCUUUCAGGGGUACUCGAGUGGCGAACGGGUGAGUAACACGUGGGUGAUCUGCCCUGCACUUCGGGAUAAGCCCGGGAAACUGGGGCUAAUACCGGAUAGGACCACAUUUUGGAUGGUGUGGUGGAAAGUUUUUCGGUGUGGGAUGAGCUCGCGGCCUAUCAGCUUGUUGGUGGGGUAAUGGCCUACCAAGGCGUCGACGGGUAGCCGGCCUGAGAGGGUGUACGGCCACAUUGGGACUGAGAUACGGCCCAGACUCCUACGGGAGGCAGCAGUGGGGAAUAUUGCACAAUGGGCGCAAGCCUGAUGCAGCGACGCCGCGUGGGGGAUGACGGCCUUCGGGUUGUAAACUGCUUUCGCUAGGGACGAAGCGCAAGUGACGGUACCUGGAGAAGAAGCACCGGCUAACUACGUG